rnacentral:antisense_RNA from 1 species
AGGAGCGCGAGGCCGGCCUGAGGGAGGAGGCCUAGCGACCCUUCCGGCGCCUCUCGCCCCGCGCAGCCACCCACGGCCGCGCAUCCUGCGGGUCCCAGGAGGCCUCCAUCUCAAAACAACGUGUUUUUAGGAUCCCAUCCACUAUCACAGUUUCGGCUUCCCCCAAGCUGGAAUAUGUCUUUGGAGACUCCCAUCCUUAUUAAAGGGCAAAGACUUCUCAUACACGUAGGAUGGGUCAUAUGUUCUUGGCGGGACUGCAGAGAAGGUGCCGUGUCCUGGGUCCUCACGUCGGGGCACAGGCUUCCAGCCGAUUCUACCUGGGUUAUGUUUAUCUCAAUUCUCCGGUGGUAUUGGUGUCUGCUGGGUUUUGCCAGAAUGAAGACACCGUGUUUUCAUUUGUAAAUUGAUUCGUAUUUUCCAGGGAGACAUUCUGAGAUUACAGUAUUGUCUUAGUCAAGGUGCUGCAGAGGGACAGAACUAAUAGGAUAUAUGGACAUGUGAAAGAAAGUUUAUGAAGGAGAACUGGCUCACACCAUCACGAGGCAAAG